rnacentral:lncRNA from 1 species
AAAACUGUUUGCAGGGAUAAUCCAACAGUAGAGAAGUGAAAUCUGUGAGUUUAUUUGAAAUCUUUUGGGCAACUCUUUGCAGCAACAGUGCCAUCUUCCUACAUUUUGCUUAGAUUAAUUUUAAGAUUUAUUUUUCUUAUUUGGAACACAUCUGUAGGAAGCAAGGAGCAUGCAAGCUAGGAUAUAGCAAAUCUGAGAGUUAGCAUUUGUGACAGAUAAUACACAUGUGCAUUAUACACAAGACAAAAAUAAAAUUUUAUUCUCAAUUUCUAGAUAUUAGAUAACUAGAUGGUGGUAGUUCCAUUCUAGUUAUUAGAAAACUAUUUAGGAUUGGAAGAACUGAGGUGGUCAAAUGAAAAAAGUGAAUUAGUUGCAUUCUUACCAACUGUGGAGCAAAGAAACAUGUUUCUCAUGGCCCAAGGCAGGCUUGAAUGAGAAGGAAAUCUGGGGAUCUACUUAGAUAGUGCCAAGAAAGUGCCAGAGAUGGAUGCCCUGGAGAUGAGCAAAGAGAGGUCCUGAAGUCACAGGACUAAAUUCCAGCACAGUGGAAUAAAACAGAAAAAAGAAAGGAGUACCUACAUAAGAGAAUCAGUAGGUUUGGGAGAGUGAUAAAAUCUUAACUUUUCUAUUUUAACAGUGAAAUCUUUUGCAGAGCAAAAAUUUUGAUUUUUGAAGUCCAAUUUAUCAAGUAUUUAUUUUCUAGAUCAUGCUUUCAGUAUUAUAUCUAAGAAUUAUUUGCCUACCCCAGGUCAUGAAUAUUCCUUCUCAUGUUUUCUUCUAAAUGCUUUAUGGUUUUCCUUUUUUUUUUUUUUUUUUCUUUUUUUUUGAGACGGUGUCUCGCUCUGUCGCCCAGGCUGGAGUGCAAUGGUGCAAUCUCGGCUUCGUGAUCCACCUGCCUCAGCCUCCCAAAGUGUUGGGAUUACAGGCGUGAGCCGUGCCCAGCCUGGUUUUACAUUUUACACUUAGAACUAUGAUCCAUUUCUAUUUACUUUUUUAAAAAGGCAUGAGUUUAGGUGGAGGUUAAUUUUUUUUACAUGUCUAUAUCCAAUUGUUCCAACACCAUUUGUUGAAAAGAUGAUCCUUUUUCCAUUGAAUUGCCUUUGCAAUUUCAUAAAAAAUCAAUUGGCCAUAUUUGAAUGAAGCCAAUUUCUGGACUCAAUUCAGUACCACUGAUCUACAUGUCUAUCCCUUCACCAAUGCCACACUAUAUUGAUUACUAUAGCUUUGUAGUAAAUCUUAACAUCAGUGUAAGUCAUCCAACUUUCUCCUUUUUUCAAAAUUGUUUUGGCUAUUCUGGUUUUUUGUUUGUUUGUUUUGUCUUCCCAUAUACAUUUUAGAAUUAUUAUAUAUAUAUUGAGAAUAUGUCUAUUUCUUCUUUCAGUUUUGUCUAUUUUUGCUUCACGUAUUUUUAAAGUCUGUUAGGUGCACACACAUUUAGAUUUGUAUGUCUUCUUGGUGAAUUUACUUUUAUAUUAUUACAUGAUGUCUCAGUUUAUCCCUGGUGAUUUUCCUUGCUCUGAAGUCUACUUUGAUUAUUAAUAUAUUUAUACCAACUUUAUUUUUAUUCAUGUUUAAAAUGUGUCUUUUCCCAUUCUUUUUCAUUUAACCUUCCUAUAUCUUUAUACUUGAAGUAUGUUUCUGGUAGACAGCAUAUAGUCGAGUGAUACCUUUUUACUCAUUCUGAUUAUCUCUAUUUUAACUAGUGUGCUUACACCAUUUACAUUUAAUGUUAAUAUUGAUAUGUUUGGGUUUAGGGCUACUAUUUAAUUAUCUGUUUACUCAUCACUCCUUAUGUUUUUCCUUCCUCUGUUACCCUUUUUUUCUUCUUCUUUUGGGUUACUUGAGCAUUUGUUAGUAUUCUAUUUUAGUUUCUUAUUAUUUCACUUUGGGCUGUGUGUGUGUGUGUGUGUGUGUGUGUGUGUAUGUGUGUGGUGAUGACUGUUACAGUAAACAAACUUAAACUUUCUCAGCAUGCUUUGAAUCAAUAUUUGCCACUUUAAAUGUGAUGUAGAAAUUCUUCCAAGAUCCCUUUACCUUCCAUCCUUCAUGUUGUAUUUGCCUUAUAUAUUACUUCUAUAUGCAUUGAAAACCCAUCAGAUAAUGUUAUAGUUUUGGUUUUCAAUGAUCAAAUAUACUUCAAACACCUUAAAAGGAGAAGAACAGUCUAUUAUAUUUGCCCAAAUAUUUGCUAUUUAUAUUGCUCUUCCUUCAUUCCUCAUGCUCCAUAUUUCCUUCUGGUGUCAUUUCCUAUCUGAAAAUUUUCAUUUCGUAAUUCUUUUAGAUCAGGACUGUUUGUAGUGAACUGUAUUAGUUUUCUUUCAUCUGAGAAUGUCUUUAUUUAACCUUCAUUCCUAAAGGAUAUUUUCACCAGGUAUAAAAUUCAAGAUUAACAAUUCUUUUCUUUCAGCACUUAAAAAUGUUGUUCCACUAUCUUUUUCAUGAACAGUUUCUGAUAAGAAAACCGUAGCCAGUUCAAUAAUACAUCAUUUUUCUCUUGCUGCUUUCAUAGUAUUUUGUCUUUAGCUCAUAAUGAUUUAAUUGUGAUAGGUCUAGACAUGGAUUUAUUUGGUUUUGUCACAUUUAGGAUUCACUAGACUUCUUGAGUCUGUAGGUAUAUGUCUUUUACCAAAUUUGAGAAGUUUUUAGCUAUUAUUUAUUGAAAUGAUGUUUCUUCCCCCAUGUUCUUUCUCCAUUCAUUCCGAGUCUCUAAUCACAUGAACAUUAGACUUUUGAGUAUUAUCCCACACAUCUUCCUUCAUUUUUAAAAUAUUUUUUAUGUCUUUUCUGAUUGGAUAAUUUCUAUUACUAUAUCUUCACAUUCGCUGACUCCUCUGUCAAUUCUAUUCUGCUAUUACACCCAUUCUGUAAUUUUUAAUUUUAGUUAUUGUAUUUUUCAGUUCUAAAUUUUCUCUUUGGUUAUUCUUUAUAUUAUCUAUUUCUUUGUUAGGACUUUUUAUCUCUUCAUUAUUUUCAAGAGUGUAUGCCCUUACUUAUUUGUACAUAUUUUAUCAGAUAAUUUCAACAUUUGUGAUACAUUAGCAGUGGCAUCUGUUGAUUCUUAUGCAGGUUGAGAUUUUACUGUUGUUCAGUUCUGUUCCAUGUGUGUGUCAUUGAAUGACCAGUGUGGGACCUAGACUGUGACCUACCCCUUAGUUCAGUUCUCAAAGUAUUUAGUAUCCUGUUUAGGAUCCAUGCAUGCACAAAUCCAGGGUGAGCUCAAGAGUUCACAGACAACUUUAUGAGUUUUCUUCCCAGGCUCCCUGCUCUCCAUGAUCUCCCUAGUACUUCUGGUGCCCUGGGGCUCCCUUUUCAAUGUUCUAAUCAGGACACUGAACUUCUCUCCUCCCCUCCACAUUUUCUUUUUCUUUUUCUUUUUUUUUUUUUUUUUUUUUUUUGAGACGGAGUCUCACUCUGUCACCCAGGCUGGAGUGCAGUGGCUCACUGCAACCUCCACCUCCUGGGUUCAAGCGAUUCUCCUGCCUCAGCCUCCCUAGUAGCUGGGAUACAUGUGUGUACCAUCAUGCCCAGCUAAUUUUUUUGCAUUUUUAGUAGAGACGGGGUUUCACCAUGUUGGCCAGGCUGGUCUCAAACUCCUAACCUCAAAUGACCCGCCCACCUCAGCCUCCCAAAGUGCUGGGAUUACAGGCAUAAGCCACCAUACCUCCCUCUCCUCCACAUUUUCUAGUGGCCCCUCUCUGGAGCCAACAGCAAGAUAACAAGUGGAGGGAAAGCAAGAGGGUUUCACUCCACAUUUUUGAAACCACAGCUUCUCCCAUCAGAGAGAAAUGUUCCCAUGCCCCAGUUUUAGGAGGAACCCAGUAGCUGCUGUUCUUGCUGUCACUGCCCCUAUCACAGCACAAUUGCCUAAAGACUGGCAGAAGAGAAUGGAGUAGAGACUUAAAGGAGAAAGAGUAGGAGAAAAAGAAGAGGAGGGAAAAAAAGAAGAGGAGGAGCUGGGGGAGAGAAGGAGGAAGAAAGGGGAUUUCCAACUCUUUCUCUAAAUAUUAGCUAAUCUUUUCCUGGAAGAAUUAGAGGUCUCCUCCUGGAGCUCUCUGUGUCUAUGUUCCCUUUUUGGUUUGGGUUGCCUUAAGUUCAGGUUAGGGGUUACCUAGAAACAAGAAAUGGUUAUCUUAUCACCUAUUUGGUGGUACUUUGAAUUCUGUACCACUUUCUGCUUACUAUUACUUUUCAAAUAGGAGUUGAAAAUACUUUUCAAGAAGCACAUUCUAAUUGAACCAGAACCGUAUCUUAUCUGGAACCAUAAACAUAAUAGACAGUUGUAUAAAUUGUGUUUGCAUUUUCAAAUAAUUCAAAUUGCAGUAUGGCUUCCAAUAAACAAAUAUUUGUUUUCUUCAUUUGCCUAACUAUAAAUAACCUAGUUCCACUACAUGUGAAGUUUAUUAUCCAUUGACCCACCAGAGGUACUGCUGUGUCUUUAGAAAUCAGAAGCAUUCUUGGCCGGGCGCAGUGGCUCACGCCUGUAAUCCCAGCACUUUGGGAGGCUGAGGCAGGAGAAUGGUGUGAACCCGGGAGGUGGAGCUUGCAGUGAACCCAGAUG